AACGAACGCUGGCGGCAGGCUUAACACAUGCAAGUCGAACGCCCCGCAAGGGGAGUGGCAGACGGGUGAGUAACGCGUGGGAAUCUACCCAAUUCUUCGGAACAACACAUGGAAACGUGUGCUAAUACCGAAUGAGCCCUUCGGGGGAAAGAUUUAUCGGAAUUGGAUGAGCCCGCGUUGGAUUAGCUAGUUGGUGGGGU
rnacentral:rRNA from 1 species